rnacentral:rRNA from 1 species
UACGAAGGGGGCUAGCGUUGUUCGGAAUUACUGGGCGUAAAGCGCGCGCAGGCGGCCUUUCAAGUCGGGGGUGAAAUCCCAGAGCUCAACUCUGGAAUUGCCUUCGAGACUGUGAGGCUUCGAGUACGGGAGAGGUGAGUGGAAUUCCCAGUGUAGAGGUGAAAUUCGUAGAUAUUGGGAAGAACACCAGUGGCGAAGGCGGCUCACUGGCCCGUUACUGACGCUCAGGCGCGACAGCGUGGGGAUCAAACAGG